CAGGAGAAGGAGGAGAAGGAGCUAGCCACUGAAGCUGUGCCACACGCAGCUCCAGGCUUGGCCUCCUCCUGCUAAAUUUUCCUAAAAGUUAUUUACAAAAGGAAAAAGGAAAAAGAGUGCCUUUAGCAGAAACCUUGGAAAUUUAGAACAAAUUUUUCAGGUUAGUUCUUCAAGCAGAAAACGCAUCCUUUCCCAGCGAAGACCUGUUCUGCUGAGCAAUAUGUGAGUAAACAUAAUAAUCUAAUUCCUUUAAUCCUAUUGCUUGCUUUCACUUUUGAUCUCACCCAUAUUUCCAGCCUGCCAAACCCAACAGACCCAUUGAAUCCCAAGUGUACACAGCAGAGACAGUAUUUAUUUUACAGACAAGGAUGUGCUCCUUGUUUAGCUGGGAUAGAUUCCUAAACCAAAUCACUGCAGUAGGAUAUGGCCCAUCACUCUAGGAACAAACUUUAUACUGAGACAGACCAUUUAUGUGGAGUCAACUGACAGUUUCUCAGCUGGGACACAUUGCAACCUCACCAUUGCUGUGUAUCUUUGCUCUUCUUUCUUGUGAAUUAUUUUUCUAUUUUUAUUUCUUUGAUUUGGAUGGCUGUGAACCUGUUUUGUGGUGUUACUGGUAAAGAAAAACUGUUAAAAGCAAAAGAGGAAGAGAAGAGACCUGUUCCAAGUGUGAUGAGACUCUUAAUCUCAGGGGUGUGGGUUGUGUGCCCCGUGUCGGGCAAAAUAUUAUUGCAGAUUCCCUCAUUGCAGAGAGUUGGACUCGAUGACCCUUGUCCAGUCUCCAGAAUUCACAACCCUCAUGGUCCCCUCCAACUCUAUGAUUCUAUGAAAGACACAACACAGAGAUGUAAGGCUACAAACAUUAUUGCAGCAACUGUGCUAGUCACAUGGCUCAGCUCUUGCAGUCUGUGUGGUCAUCCCCAAGCUGCCUCUCUUUAUGUCCUCUGUUUCUCUUCAUCUGGAUCCAGACCAGCAAUGAUGAACCAAGGCCACACCUCUUAUUUAAGGCCUUGGAGGAGACCAGAAUACCUCAGGCUCAUCCUAAUAAUAUGUCCUCAGAAGCCAUCAGGUGGCCGACUGUCAGUGAGUUGACAGCCAAGCUCCGAGAAGGAUCUCUCUUCACUCCUCAAUAUGGUAACACAAGUGAGAGGUUCAUGAUACAGGCUACUGAAGAUGACAAAGUAUAUAGUAGGCAAGAGUUUGAGGACUGAACUUUGAAAUAUUCCAGUCAAAUCUCUACUCAUAGAGAAUUUGGUCCAUCCAAGUUAGAUAGCAAGAUAUUGUUAGCCAGAUUAUUGGCACAGAUUAUCCAAAUUGCCCCUGAAGUCAUGCAAAUUUUGGUGCAAAUCCAGCAGAGAUAACUUAAGUGUUAUACUUCAAGCUUAUUUUCAACAGGACCUGAGCAUGUAUGGAGUAAAUAAGGAGGACUGAAAUAAGGUUUCUGCAAAUUUAAAAUCUGAGCGAGGGCUUUGUGAGGAGGUUGUUCAGUGCAAAGAAACAUAUGGCAAAACCACUGACAGGCCUUUGCGGCUGUUGCUCUUAUCAGUCGAUAGUUUUCUAGCUAUUCUGUCACCUGUCCACUGAAUAACUUACUUAGAAAGCGAUAAUGAAAAGAAAGAAAAAUCUCACCAAACGUCAAGACAGCUUUCAUUUGUGUGCGCGCGUGCUUUAUUUCAUGUGUGCAAUGUGGGAAAUUCACGGAUUUCCAGUCCAUUAAAACACAUUUCAGAGCAGUGUUGUUUGAAGUUACUUUACUUCAGAAACAGCUCUUUUCAAUUAACUCUGAAACCUCUUUCAACAGCCUUUCAUAAAUAGGCCAACAUCAAUGGCAUGCUCUGAGUCAGUGUGUAUCUCUAAUGGAAAUGCACAAUGGGCUGAGCUCCAUGCCUGCAGGGGGAACAUCUUCCAUUUCAGACAGAUUCAAUGAGAAGUUUUGCCAGCUAUUCUGGGUCUCUCACUUUUUUUGGUGGGGGGGGGGUCCUCAGGUUUAGCUCAUAGCUGAUCAAUGGCUGUGCUUUUUAAUUACACUGUACGGUCUGUAAUGAUUUGUCACUCAUUGAACCUGGGUGUUCUUUUCAGUCAGCAUGGGCAUAAACAAGCCAAAGAAGGAAAAUAGAGUCAUGUUAACCCUCUCUGGGUAAUGUCUGAUAGUUUCAUUUUUGUCACACAGCAGCACAACCACUUUUUGGAAACAGAGGGCAAAGGAAGUGCGUAGGGUGCCCAGGGCCCAACAUUUCCUAGAAGGUCCCAUUUCAUUUCUGGUGGGAUGUCAGGGAAAAAAGAAGGGCUUGGUGGAUUUGUUACCUUCAGAGAGGUGGGAUGAUGUUGUAAAAUGAGGCAGCAUUUAAAGGCCUGGGGGCUGAGAUGAGAAUUGAAAGGUCGGGCCGUGCAAUCAUACCAAUCAGUAAAAAGUUCUUGGAAACAGUUUUGUAUGUGUGCUUCUUUUCAUCACCAUUUUAUUCCCCAGCCUCCUUGUCCGACUUCUUUUUCAAGACAGUCCUUCCACAAAAGUUCCGCAGAGUCCUUCCACAGUUCCUUCUUACCUAUUCAAGGCCUCCAAAGCCUACUUUUUCCUUCCAGAGGAUUACCUGCCAACCACACAAAGGGGAAAAAGGGAUGCGAAUGUGUGUUCUUUUACAAAUAGUAAAAGGAGGAUUAGAAAUACCUGGACCAUCAGAUAAUAUGAAUGAAUGAAUGAAUGUUAUUUAACAUGGGACAAGAUUUAGGGCACAUAUACAUUAAUUUCUGUGACUUUCUCCUUGGUUGAUGCUGCAAUCUUAUACAUUCUUACCAGGGAGCAAGUCUUAUUGAAUUCAGUACGACUUACAUCUUGGUGUGUAAGAUCACACUGUUAAACUCAUAUGAUUAAUCAACAAAAUUUUCUUUAACUGAGCUGCAUCAUAAUUUGAUUUACUUAUGGGUGUUUUUAUUUAACUGAGAGACAUAUUUUGGAGAUGUGAGUUUUCCCUUUUGGCUCAUCUAAUAUUUAUUUACUUACAAUAAUUUUCUCAGUGGUAUAAACAACACAGGAUAAAACUGGUCCCAGCCCUGUAGAAAUAUCCACAGCUUCUGUUGUACUUACUUAGCAGUGUAGUUACCUCCCUCUUAGUACAGAUUGUGCAUUGCUGGAGAUUAAUUGUGACCUUAAAAAUAUAAAGAGUCCGUGCAAGAUGCCAGUUAGUGACAUGGACAAACAUGACACCCAGGGAACAGGAAAUUGUGACUUGGCAUCAAUAAAGAGGACAUGGCUUAUUGCCAGCAACACAUCUUUACACUGCUAAAUAAAUUAUUGAAAAAAGCCACUCUGUAGCCACCAAUAUAGAGUUUUGAAUCCAUUUCUUUCUAUAGCCUGAGAAUGGCUUUUGAAAGGACUCCUAUCACAAAUAUUUAAGUAACCAAGAUCAUAACAAAUAUGUGAAUUUGGAUAUACUCAGUUCUUGCAACAUGCUAAAAGGAUCUGAGCAGAGCAGAAAAAGAUCACGCUAGAGACCAUAAUUGCAGCAGAUUUAUGAAAAGCUCCAUGCAGAAAAAAAGACAGGUAUCCUUCCUUAUAUCGGAGUUUUAAAAAAACUUCAUAGCUCAUCAAACUUUUUCCUGGCAGAACAAUAAUCAUUAGGAUGUACUUUGACUUCUGUCAAGUUUGUAUCUCCGUAUUCUACUGUUUACUUUGCAGGGCCUCCAAAGGUGUUAAGACGAAAAUGGAGAGAUUCAAGGACGGGAAUUGCUGUUGAUGAUAAAAAUAUCCCCA
rnacentral:lncRNA from 1 species